UCGGGGGCGAGGGUGACGAGGUGGUGCAUGGUUGUCGUCAGCUCGUGUCGUGAGAUGUUGGGUUAAGUCCCGCAACGAGCGCAACCCUCGACCUUAGUUGCCAGCAUUCAGUUGGGCACUCUAAGGUGACUGCCGGCUAAAAGUCGGAGAAGGUGGGGAUGACGUCAAAUCAUCAUGCCCCUUAUGACCUGGGCUACACACGUGCUACAAUGGGCGGUACAAAGGGUCGCGAACCCGCGAGGGGGAGCCAAUCCCAAAAAGCCGCUCUCAGUUCGGAUUGCAGGCUGCAACUCGCCUGCAUGAAGCCGGAAUCGCUAGUAAUCGCGGAUCAGCAUGCCGCGGUGAAUACGUUCCCGGGCCUU
rnacentral:rRNA from 1 species